rnacentral:rRNA from 1 species
GGGGAUUAGUGGCGAACGGGUGAGUAACACGUGGGCAAUCUGCCCUUCACUCUGGGACAAGCCCUGGAAACGGGGUCUAAUACCGGAUACGACACGGGGUCGCAUGACCUCCGUGUGGAAAGCUCCGGCGGUGAAGGAUGAGCCCGCGGCCUAUCAGCUUGUUGGUGGGGUGAUGGCCUACCAAGGCGACGACGGGUAGCCGGCCUGAGAGGGCGACCGGCCACACUGGGACUGAGACACGGCCCAGACUCCUACGGGAGGCAGCAGUGGGGAAUAUUGCACAAUGGGCGAAAGCCUGAUGCAGCGACGCCGCGUGAGGGAUGACGGCCUUCGGGUUGUAAACCUCUUUCAGCAGGGAAGAAGCGAGAGUGACGGUACCUGCAGAAGAAGCGCCGGCUAACUACGUGCCAGCAGCCGCGGUAAUACGUAGGGCGCAAGCGUUGUCCGGAAUUAUUGGGCGUAAAGAGCUCGUAGGCGGCUUGUCGCGUCGGAUGUGAAAGCCCGGGGCUUAACCCCGGGUCUGCAUUCGAUACGGGCAGGCUAGAGUUCGGUAGGGGAGAUCGGAAUUCCUGGUGUAGCGGUGAAAUGCGCAGAUAUCAGGAGGAACACCGGUGGCGAAGGCGGAUCUCUGGGCCGAUACUGACGCUGAGGAGCGAAAGCGUGGGGAGCGAACAGGAUUAGAUACCCUGGUAGUCCACGCCGUAAACGUUGGGAACU